UAUGGAGGGUGCAAGCGUUAAUCGGAAUUACUGGGCGUAAAGCGUGCGCAGGCGGUUUGUUAAGUCUGUUGUGAAAUCCCCGAGCUCAACUUGGGAAUUGCAAUGGAUACUGGCAGGCUGGAGUAUGGUAGAGGAAGGUGGAAUUCCCGGUGUAGCAGUGAAAUGCGUAGAGAUGUGGAGGAAUACCGAUGGCGAAGGCAGCCCCCUGGGAUAAUACUGACGCUCAUGCACGAAAGCGUGGGGAGCAAACAGG
rnacentral:rRNA from 1 species